GGGGAAUUUUCCGCAAUGGGCGAAAGCCUGACGGAGCAAUGCCGCGUGAGUGACGAAGGCCUUCGGGUUGUAAAGCUCUGUCUUCAGGGACGAAACAAAUGACGGUACCUGAGGAGGAAGCCACGGCUAACUACGUGCCAGCAGCCGCGGUAAUACGUAGGUGGCAAGCGUUGUCCGGAAUGACUGGGCGUAAAGGGCGUGUAGGUGGAUUGAUCAGUCGGAUGUGAAAUACCUGGGCUUAACCUGGGAACUGCAUUCGAUACGGUCAGUCUUGAGUGCAGGAGAGGGCAGUGGAAUUCCCAGUGUAGCGGUGAAAUGCGUAGAGAUUGGGAGGAACACCAGUGGCGAAGGCGGCUGCCUGGACUGUAACUGACACUGAGGCGCGAAAGCGUGGGGAGCAAAC
rnacentral:rRNA from 1 species